AAAAAUCAUAUGUUAACUUUGUGUGGCCUAAAAAUUUGUAAAUACGGCUAGUGUUAGGCUCAAUUUAGAUGCUAAUGUGGGGAAUUUAUUGGCAUUCUGGGUUUGUUUUGGUAAGAAGUAUAGUUUGUGUGUUUUGGUUUCGAAUUUGGUAAUUGAGCUUGUACUACAUUAUACGCUUUCUAUCACAACCUGAUCCUUUUGUUGAAAGCGUUUAC
rnacentral:lncRNA from 1 species